GUUAUUGGUGAUGGAAGAUGUGCCACCCUCCCAGGCUCCUGAGCCUGUGAAGGGAUCAGACAUGGAUUAUUGAUUUAAACAGAUGAAGACAGGAGCAUGUUGAGUGAUUUUUGGGUAGUCGGUAUGAGUAUUUUUAUUCACAUUUUAUUUGAUUCCGCACAGUUGGCGGCGACAAUACACCCCUUUGCGUGUAGUUCGACAUGAAACCCAAAGAAGAAGUGUAAACGGAAAUUAACAGCGACCAAGAACAAUUUCCACGUUCGAGUUUUUGUUGAUAUUUAUAUGUUUAUUAACACCAUGGAACUCAAAAUAUGAGUAAUUUAACUGCACAACAUCACAUACUUACAGCACUUGGCUGACAGAUGUUAUCAAGGUAACGCUAACAAUGGCUAACAGUAUGGUUUUUCACACUCAAAUAGCCUCCAUUAUGGAGGUGCUAGCAAAUGCAGCCAUGGCAGAGGUCUGUAAACUCGUAGAUGACGACUAUGCAGUGUUUCGUUUGGAAAUAACUCAAAGCCAGAAAGAAAACAGGGCAUUGCGGAGGAGACUACAGCUACUGGAACUGAGGGGAGCGCGUCCUCGCCAGUCGUCCCAGUAGUGUCAAGAUCCUCGAACGAUACAGAGGAAAGGCAAGAGGUGAAGGGCUGGAGGCCACAGGAGUUGUGUGAAGCCAGCGGGACACAAUACAUGGAGAGAUGACCAACCAAUCACAGUCGAUGAGGGGAGUGGAACCUCAACCCAGCAUGUUAUCAUAAUAGAGUCUUCAGAUGCAGAGGCUGAACAUCAUGGGGUCAAGCAGGAAAGGACUGAAGGAGAGGAGGACCUACAGCAAAGCAGAGACAUCCAGACGGGAGCUCCCCCUGUAGCCACGGAGGACACCGGUAGAUGAGGUGACUGUGAAAGUGGAGGGCGACGCUCCUCCCACAGUGAAUGCAGAUAGUCACCUAGGAGACAGACACUCACAGGGCAGAGAUUUCUUAGAAUACAGGGAAAGCUUAGAGACAAAUCCAAACGCUGUCACCCACUCCACUUUCCACCCGUUCUGGGAUCGCGACCCAGUGUCCAUGUCAAUGGGGCCUUCCGAUUCACACGACUGCACCCUUUUGGAUCAGGCAUUGAACUCAAACGACAGGGCUAGAGCCCAGGCCCGGGGAGGGGAAGUAACAUCAGGCAAAAAACAGGGGGUGAAACUCUUUAGCUGUACCCAGUGUCAUAUAUGCGCUUCGCCCAGGAUGGAAACCUGAAGAGGCACCAGAGGGUACACACAGGGGAGAAACCUUACAGUUGUUCCCAGUGUCGCAUGCGCUUCGCCCAGGCUGGUGACCUAAAGAGGCACCAGAGGGUCCACACAGGAGAUAAACCCCACAGCUGCCCCAAGUGUGAGAAGAGAUUCUCCCACCAGCACCAUCUGAAGAUGCACCUGAAGAUCCACACUGAAGUGAGGCCGUUUGCCUGUACGCACUGCGGGAAAAGGUUCUCAGAGAGGAGCUACCUCAGGAUACACCAGGAGAAAAACCAUUCCACUCUAUAACAUAGAAAGUAACCAUUCGAAUCGAUAGCUUCUGACGUUUACAUCAAACCCUGCAUUAAAGACAAAGAUUAACUUUCAUUGUUGUCAGCAGAAAAGAUCCACAGAUGCAUUUGGAAUAAUGAGAGCCACAGAUUUCAGUGUUGAAUAUUCCUGGGUAGAAUAUUGCAUUCAGGCAUUGUGCCUAAAAAGUCUGUUACAUAUUGUGUUUGUACUGUACUGUGUAGGCCAGUGGUCACCAACCUAUUCUGAGUCAAGUUCAUUUUCACUGAUCUCUCGCUCAAAUUUUUUUGAAACAUUACUUAACAGUUCUGUAAGAAUGAGGUUUGUGCAGUAGGCCUAAUACAUUAGCACAGCAUAUUGAGUAUAUGCCUGGCCUGCCAAUAUUGGCCUUCUCAGACCAUAUUUCAAAACUCAAGCUUUGAUUACAAAAUAGAUCAGUUGGUGUAGCAAAUUGCUGAGCAUAAAUUGAAAUGAUUUGUUUAUUUUAUUUUACUGGACUGAUUGUCAUGGUGAUUUCAAUACAAAUGGGAACUCGGUAAAAAAGGUGGUCAAAUCAGGAUGUCAGUGAUUUUCAGGUUGGAAAGUCAGAGGUCUAGAUAGAUGCCAGAGUUUCUGACUUGGAAUUCAUGACCGCUCCAAAAAAAAAAAUCCAGUUGGAUCUCAAUAGUUCCCAGUUGUUUUGAACACAGCAUUAGUCUCAGUGGAGGGCGAGAACAGCAUAGGUUCCACUUCUCACAGUCACUGCUGUAAUGAGUGUGCUGAGUCAAGAAGCAAGUUCAGGGAGUGAGUGUUGGAAAUCUUCCUCUGCUUUUCAAAUAUGAACUCAGAACAGGAAUAGCUUCUACCAAUCAAAGGUUAGAGAGCUAUUUUAGUAACCACAUCAACUGCUUUCAUUGAGCUAACUUCCCACUUAUGUAACUUCGUUGGUGAUGUUUCCCUGGUUACCAUAGCAACAUCUGAUCUCACUUUGCAUUGAUAGCCCUGCUUACUCGGUCUGUUAGAAGUGCCACAAUUAUCGUUUUCUACAGGUAAGAUGUCACAAAAUCAUUUAGACCAGUACACACACACUUCUUCCACAAGAAUCUGCUGUCCAGAUCGACUAGCCCAUCUUGACAUUGUUUCAUGAGAGAGGGUAUGUACAGUUGAUACAAGCUGCUACCACAAAAAAAGAAUACCCUGCUGGAUCCAGUGUUCAUUUCUCAACCCCAAAGUUGCUUCCAGUCAGAUGUGCUGCAGAGAUACUAAAGUUAUCACAACCCAGUGUAUUGCAUUUUUACUUCAGACAUCUCCCAGGUAUGAAUCUUGACCAAAACAUUGGUAUCACAUUCACUGCUUGCAUUAGUUCUGUCUUCAUGUUAGGAUAAAAAACAAAAGUCCAAAUAAAAUGAAUGAUCUA